AUGGUCAUACCAUGCUGAAUAUACCGGUUCUCGUUAGAUCACCGAAGUCAAGCAUCAUUGGGCGCGGUCAGUACUUGGGUGGGC